CCAGGUCUCCCGUCUUCCUAGUGUCCUAGUGACAUGGGGACCCUGGGAUACACGGGGAUACAGGGAGACAUGGGGCAUUGAUACAUAGGAUCACUGGGAGACCUGGGGAUACGACACUAGGGGACACUGGAAGACAUGGGGCACUGAGACACUGAUACAUAGGAACACUGAGACCUGGAGUAAUCGACACAUGGGGCCACUGAGUCAUGGGGGCACUGGGAGGAAUCUAUCUAUACAGCAGAUUUAAACUAAGUAGUUUUUUGGUGAUUUUACAGCAUUUUCUCUAAUGUCACUCCUUGUGAUUUACAUCAUGUGAUGUCACCCACACAUAUUUAAUUAUGCACAUUAGUAAGGCCGGUAUGUUUUUCCAAGAAAG